rnacentral:rRNA from 1 species
UUCCUCCGGGAGGCAGCCGUGAGGAAUAUUGGUCAAUGGGCGCGCGCCUGACCCCGCCACUUCUCGUGAAUGAUGACUGCCCUACGGGUUGUAAACUUCUUUUAUAAAGGAAUAAAGUGAGGCACGUGUGCCUUUUUGUAUGUACUUUAUGAAUAAGGAUCGGCUAACUCCGUGCCAGCAGCCGCGGUAAUACGGAGGAUCCGAGCGUUAUCCGGAUUUAUUGGGUUUAAAGGGAGCGUAGAUGGGUUGUUAAGUCAGUUGUGAAAGUUUGCGGCUCAACCGUAAAAUUGCAAUUGAUACUGGCA